CCGUGGGCUGGAGCAGCAGCCGCGUAGGGAGGACGGAGGGCAGGCGGGAGGGGCAGCGGCUGCUCACGCCCCUCACACAGGGAGAGCCCCCAGCCCGCGGACAGCGUGUGCCGCCCGCAGGAGACGCAGGUGCUAAUUAGCAGCCCGGUUUUCUAGAGCAGACAGGGAUCCUUUCCCGGAAUUCCUGCCCGGAGGAGAGCGCAGGGACACGGGUGGCAGUGUUAUGGAUCACAGGUGCUGCUCCAGUGGUCCCAGCCCAACAAAGUCCCUUUGCUGUGGAUGGCUUGGCCUUGGUCUGCAGAGGAAUGCCAUGGAGUCAGCUUCCUGAUUUUUCACACCUCAACAGGAGAGGAUGGACAGUCCUGGAUCAGCCCCUCGGUGCCGACAGUGGAGAUCAGAGCAAUGAACACCUGGGCACUGCUGGAGCAGCAGGGAAACCUCUCCUGGAGGAUGUGGAGAAUGAUUCAUUAUCAGCUGCCACCACUUCCCAGACUCCCAAACCACUCUGAGUUAUUUGGGAUGCAACUACAGAAGCCCUGAGAGUCUGAGAGAUCUCCAAGCCUUGGGCCCCUGAAGACUUGGAAAAAGACCUGAAGUUUUUGACUGACAGACAAAUGGGAGAUGAUGCUGUGUGAGAGGAGGAAAAGCUCCACUUGACCUG